UUGGGUUACCAUUUUUCUUUGUUUCUCUUGAAAGUAUAAUAUGGGCGAACGGAUUAUGCGCUAGAACGCACGAUAUUCGGAACGAGCUCGUGCUUAUAAAUAACUAAGCGUAGCGCGUAACGCAUUAAGCGGUGGUGGAGCGUAUAAGAGAAGAUUCUACCAAAAUCUUAUAUCAACAGUCGAAAAAUAAUUAUCGUGUUUCUAUUUAUAAGGAUAUAUCAUAUCUAACGGGACAAAAUUAAUGACAAUAGUAUGUUUUUAUAUAAUUUAAUUUAUGCGUUUAAUUGUUAUUAAUUUAAAACUAUAGCUUUCGUACUAACUUAAAAAAAAGAAAAAAAAAGAACAAAGGAAAAAAAAUAUUUUGGGAGAUUGUAUUGUUCCAUGGACAUACGUAACUUCUGUAUAUAAUGAAUAGGCGAAAAAAGUUCUUAUUGAUCGAUCUCGUUGCAACGUAGUUCUUUCUAUUCGUGCUCUUACAUGUUUCCGCCCGUGACAUAUUUCCAGUUUCACUAGUGUACGAUAUCCACCGUGGUUUUCGAACGAAAUCGAUAAAUUGAACAUGAAUUCGCACAUUUACAUACAUAUGUGCGAAUGUAAAAAAAAGAGAAAAGAAAAAAAAAACAAGAGCUCGUUUACGCUUCGCAAAAAAUAAACCGAGCGUAUAUUUAUUAAUAAUCUUGCAAUACAAAUCGAACGAAGUAAAAAAGUUGAAUAACACGCAUUUUAAAACACGCUCGAUCUGCUUUAUUUCAUUAUUAUCCAGGAAAAGAGUUUUUGCCCCACUAGAAAUUUUUCGACAGAAUCACACUCGGACGUCAUUCGUUGUCAUUUGAAGAAAGAAAGAAAUACCGCUGGGAUUUAAAAAAGAAAAAAAAAACAAAAAAAAUAAAGUAAUAAUAAAAAGAACAACGAGAUAAACGAGAAUAUGAAGUAUUAUCAUCGAUAUGAUUCAUACGAAGCAAAUCAAAAAGCAGAUUAGUUGCAAGGUGGAAAAUCUUUCCAACAAAAUAUACGACAGAGAUAAAAGAUAAUUACGGCGAUGGAUCUUUUUAAAGUCGAUCGUUUUAAAGUGAAUAAAAAAAAAGAAAAAAAGGAAAAAUUAUCACACACACACACACAUAUAAGAGACACAAACAUAUAUAAAAGAAAUAAAAAAGGCAAGAAACCAAUAAAGACGAGUAGUUAAAGAGAUAAAGAUUAUCCAAUAAAAUCAAGAAUAUUCUUGGCUAUAACGUUUCCACUCGGCAUGAAAACGAAAAUGUUUGUUCAAGGUGCCACGCGAGUCAUAAAGAUAUUAUUUUUCUAUGACCAAUGCGAUAAGACCCAUAAUGUUCUUCGAAAUUCAGUUUGACCGCGGAUGUUGAUUCGGACGAUUUAACAAUGGCUAAUUAAAAUUUUCCCCGACUUCCUCCCUUCAUUCUUUUUUUCCUUCCUUUCCUUUUUUUUCUUUAUUUAUAUUUCUUUCUAUUUUUUUUUCCUUUCGCAUUAACAACUUUACCUAAUAGGAGAUGUAACACAAAGGCAACUAAUGUUUCGCGAUUGAGAAAAAUAAAAAAUAAAAUUUAAUAGUGUCGCAAUGAUAUAUAUAUAAACAGAAAAAUAUAUUUUUUUUUCCGAAUGAUGCAAUGUCUUCGACGCUUUCAACGACGAUAACCUUACGAAGGGGAUUUGUCUCUUUCUCUGGUAGGAUUCAAACGAAAGAGAAAUUUCCAAAGACGUAUAACGAUAUCGAACAAAAUCCAAAGAAGAAGACGCGAUUAAAGAGGAGGAAUUUUCCCACGAAUCGAUAACCCCUAUCGACUUUUUCUCCUAUGUUUCACGAGUUCUACCUCGAGACGCGACAACACGUCGAAGAACGCAGUCGUAAAAGGUCAUAAGAUCAAACGCAUUAAGAUCGAACAUAAGAUCGAACGUAAGAUCGAACGUAAGAUCAAAUGUAAGAUCGAACGUAAGAUCGAACUUUUCUUUUUUUUAAUUUUUCUUUAUUUUUCCUUUUUUUUCCUUACCUUUUUUCUUUUCUUUUUUUUUUUAUGUCGUCUAUUAUCGACACGUAUGUUAGAACGAACGUAAACCUAUAAUCUCCCAAUCGGAUAAACAAAGCUUCCUUUCAUGUGUCGAGCAAUUAAAAUAAUCGAACAUUCAAGUCGACGUAUCUUGAUGAAAACGUCAUCGAGUCUGCCUAAUUUGCUUCGAGCCGUAAAAAACAACACGCGCAAGGACAGAUAAAUGAUUCGGCUAACUUCUUUUUUUUUUGUUUCUAAAUAAAGCGAUAUCGUAUAAGAUAAAAUAAAAAAAAAAAAUAAGAAAACGAAAAAGAAGAAAAAAAAGAACAUAUUAGAAGAAAACGAUUAUCGACGAUAUCUGUUUAUUUCUUUCUUUUUUUUUUCCUUUUUGCUUUUUUCUUCACUCUUACAUGCAACAGAUCCGAUUUACGCACGUCCGAAACAGAGUAGCAAGUAGGUAAGUACGAGUAUAGAUAUAGUUAGACAUAAUGUGCAUCUAGGUCGUUCGUGUCUUUUCUCUCGCAUAUGUUUAAGAGUCAAACGGUAAGAGCAAUGCGUGCAUCAAAAUUAGCUUCGAAUGCUGUCUUACGUUCUAUUACCGGGUAAGCUUGAUUCGUCGUUCUCUCUCUCUCUCUCUUUUCUCUCUCUUUCUCUCCCUCUUUCUCCCUGUUUUUACAGAGGGAGUAGGUUUACACAGAAAAGAAGAGAAGAGAAAAGAAAAUGAAAACAAAACAAAAAAGAGAAGAAAGAAAAAAAAAUGAUCGAAGAAGAAACCGGGUAAAGAGUUGGAUGUUUGGAGCAAGAAAGAAAAAAAAAAGAAAAAAGCAGAAGAAAAAAAAAGAAACAGAAAAAAGAAAAGAAAAAAGCAACAAGAAAAAAGGAGAAAAAUAAAUAAUAAAGAAAGAAAGAAAGAAAAAAAGAAAUUUCGAUUGGGUACAAGUUCCUUGAUCUUCUCGAUAAGAUUAUUAAUAAAGAAAUAAAGAAAUAGAAGUAGGAGCCGCUCUCUUUAUCGGCCUUGAUUUCGCGUGCGGAUCUCGUUGCGAUCGCAUGUGAUAUAAAGAUUACGUAAGGUGGGAGUUUGACUCUCCUUAGCACGACCUCUGUGGACGUAUUCGCAUCGUUACGCUAGUAGGGAUGAAAAGAGAGAAUUCGAGGGGAAGAGAGAAAGAAAGAGAGAGAGAAAGAGAAAGAAGGAGAGAAAAAUAGAUAAAUAGAGAUACAGAUAGAGAUAGAUAGAUAUAUAUUAGAGAGAGAGAGAGAGGGAGAAAGAAUGAGAGAGAGAGAGAGAGAGAGGAGAAAGAGUAGGAUGGAAAAGGAGAUGGAAAUGGAGAUGAGGAUGAAGAGAGGAAGGGAGGGGAAGGGAGGGAGAGGGUUUCAUGCGGGCACUGGCACCGAGCAGUCUGUUCCGUUCACCUCCGGUAUUCCCUCGAGCAAUGCCAGGGAAGCCAGGACCGUCCAUGCCAGUUUUAGAACCCUUCGCUUUUCCUCUCUUUAUAAUCUUAGAUCAUCUAUGAAUCAUGCGAAUUAAUCGGCCGAUGAUAUCCUUUUGCGAAAUCUCGUUCAUCGUUCUAAUACCAGGAAAAUAAAUGAUUCUUGUGAGAAAAUAGUUCUGACGAACGUUUCUUUUUCAUUCGUUUAAAUCAUUGCGAAUUUUUACAAAAGCAACAACAAUAAUACAACAACAACAACUAUAAAUAAUAUCUGGAUCCUGUUAACUAGAUUUUAUUAUCUUAUUCCUACAGCUGUCCGAUGUUCUCGAAAUAAAUUCGUAAUAGUAAGGUGUCGUCCCGACAGGGUGCAGAAAGAUCAAUCGUGUUCUAUUCGUACAAGGGGCAAGAGUAUAGGUCGGAAAGAGACAAGAUACACCUCGAUUCUAAAUUUGGUCUCCUCUACUCCUUCGACGUUGGAACGAACGAAGAAACGGAGAAACCAGUAUGCUUUAAAAAGAACGGAAAGACUCUUCUUCCCUCUUCCACCCCCCCCUCUCUCUGUUCUUUAUAGAAAGAACAAAGAGAUUUAACCCGUGGGAACCCGAGGAUGAGUGCUUCUUCUUUCGAGUGGAAAAAAACAUGGUCUACUUUACGGACGAAUUUCGAUCGUCAUGGCUCAUAAAGUCAAAGCCCCGAAGGGACACCAGAAGCUACACUACCGGAAGUAGUUUUACGACUUUCGCUGGAGUCGUAAAUUCAAAAACAGACUUCAUUAUGAAUCGAUGAAAAUCGCGUUAGAACGGUACAUACACAUACACAUAUACAUAUACACACAUACUUAUGUACAUACAUGCCAUUCUAUACACAUCACGCGUAACUUCUUAUGCAAUCCGUUCGUCAAAACAUUUUCGUUCCUUUUUUUUCUUUUUUUCUUUCUUUCUUUCUUUCUUUCUUUCUUUCUACUCUUUGGCUAUCUCUUUCAUUAUCGAUGGUAGAAACGAUACUUUGCCAAGAAGGAACGAAUCGAAAAACGCAUGGAAUUCGUUUUAAUUCGAUCAACGUCGAUUGGCCGCGUCGUUGCUUGGCUCUAAACGUGAAUGAAACUAUAGAGUGUAACGAGAAAGAAAGAAAGAAAGAGAGAGAGAGAGAGAGAGAGAGAGAGGGAGAGAGAGAGAAAUAAAAGGAAGCAACUUAACGAUGCAAGCUUUCGAAUAGAUAGAAUCACUAGGGGGAGUGUCUUCCAGGAAAUACUCCGAUCCGUUUAAAUACCUCUACUCAAAUAAAUGGAGACGAAGUCGU